CCUCAUCUAAAAACUCCAAAUUAACGAGUACUAUAGAUCUACAAUUUAUUAUGGACUCCGCAGCACUAGUAAGUGGCAAAUGGAAAAUGCUUUGUAAUUCCUGUUUCCAUGACCAAAUAAUAAAUACAGAAAUUUAAAAGAUUAUGUCCACUGAUUUUGUUAAACUAGAUUUAUUUACUACUUAAAAAAAAUAUCACCUGGUAAAUGAAUCAAAUUGAGCAGCUCAUUGAAUUUGACAGCUUCCCUCCUCCCAACUAGGAAAUUAAAUACACUACACACCUGCAACAAGCCAAGAAAAUGAUCAAUAACAAGCAAUCUUAAGAAAGGCGAUGAGCUUAUAUACGUAACCAUCUUUAAAAUUCACGACAGUCCAUCCAUCAAUUGGCUUGGUAUGAUUCAUCUAGAUCCCCUCCUCCAGCCAAAUUUGCGAGCAUUCAUCCUAAUCUUAUUUAGCCACGGGUAAAACUUCAAUAACUUUAUCAAUUUAGCUUAUUAUUAACGUCUAAUUUUGUACAUUUGACAAAAUCACCAAAAAUACCAAAAAAUUACCUGUAAUAGUACUAAUUUGAACUCCAAAAGCAAUACUCAGGUGUUAGAAGAGCUAACUCGUGAAGAAUGGAGAACAGAAGAUUCGAGAAUAAUUCAAGUCCUCUUGCUACCGUCGAAGAAAUCCAACGACGCCUCGUUCGACCUCCCUCUCUUCAAUUUCAUUCAUCAACCAUCCCUUCUCCGUAAGUACACAUUAAUUCUCUCUCUCUCUAUAUAUAUACAUAUAUAUAUACACACACACACACACUCAUAUACAUACAUGUUGUCGAUUUCAAUUACUUCUGUAGUUCUAUAAUUCUUCUUAAUAACAGGGAUGAUCGCGAUCGUAAAACAGGAUAUUCGUCUAACGCGACUGAGUUUCAGAUCAGGAACAGAGAACAACUAGUACUGACGAACAAAACGCUCUACGACUACUUGGAUCCGGCUCUUCUCUCUACAAUUUGCACCAAAAUUGGGGGCAAAAAAAGGAAACGAGAUCAUGAGUACGGAAAUAUAAUCAAACGGAAGGAGUUUCAUGAUGAUUUUGAGUGGCCACUUGAUGAAUUGAAGGUGUUUGAAAAGGUUUCGAACGGUACCGAAAUCAUCGACGGAUCAGGGAAACGACGUCACCGGAGGAGCAAUUGCGAAGCAGUGGUUGAUCUCAAUAACGACGAUCUGGAUCCGAUUAAAGAUCAUGAAGGUCACGAAGAUCAGCAGUAUUAUACUAGUUGUACUCCGUUUCAGAAGUUUGAGAUAAUGGCGUCGAAGCAGUUCAAGGGGGUGAAGGUUAAGCGGGAACUGGGUGAAGGAUAAAAAAACGAGGAAACUUGCUAAUUACUCCCUACUAUGCUUCUAAGUUCGUUAUACAUUGCUGGUGUAAUAACUGUUGGGCCC
rnacentral:lncRNA from 1 species